UUGAGAGCUUUAUUAUGCAUUUCAAAUAUCUUUUAUGUCAUUUUCAGGUCUAGGUGCAUUUUGGAGCACUUUGGAGAUUAUAGACUAAAAUGGAGCUUAAAGUGAUGAAAAGCGGUAGCUGUGCAGAAAGUGGAGUCAAGCCUUGACGUGAGCGUCGAAUGACGCCACCUUGGUGUAGAUCGAUGUUGUUGAGAACUAGAAAAGCUGACCAACUCUAUGGAAUUGCACUUUUUCCCAGAAGUUUCCUUAUUUGAAAAGAAGGCCUUGGACGUGUUUAACCUAUAUUAGUUUAUUUUAUGGUCACUGUUUAGGCUAGGCUUCAUUUUUGGAUAGCAGAUAUUAGGAUUGGAGAUAGAGAUCUGAACUCCUUUAGAGAGAAGAUUUUGAACUCUCUUGUUACUCUAUUCUAUUUAUGCAAUUUAUUCAGAUAUAUCUAUGAUGUUAUUUAUUAAUAAGUCUGAGUAAUCAAUUUUGUUAGAUUUAGGGUCUUUCAAGGGUCAUCAAAUAGAUUGUUAAACUCAUAGAAUUGCUAGGAAAAUCAAUUAGUUCUUCAUCUGGCUGACCUAAAUAAUUAGUUAAGGAUUGAUCAUCUUAAACCUAGAUCUUAGGAUAAUAAAGACAUGCGAGAGCAUGGUCAAUUACCUGAACCAAGUUUAGAUGAAUUAAAUUAUUAGGCACAGUGAGAGUUGGUCUAAGUGUUUAGUGAGCAUAUCAAACCUGAGUUUAAUGCUUGUCUGAAGUAACUGAAUUCACAACGAGAGUUGAAAUUCUAAGUUAACAUUAGAUAAUCAUUGCAGCAAGAGUUGAAUGGUUGUUAUAUGAGUUUGAGUUCGAGGCGGUUCUUUAAGAAUC
rnacentral:lncRNA from 1 species